rnacentral:rRNA from 1 species
ACUCAAAUGAAUUGACGGGGGCCCGCACAAGCGGUGGAGCAUGUGGUUUAAUUCGAUGCAACGCGAAGAACCUUACCUACUCUUGACAUCCACGGAAUUUAGCAGAGAUGCUUUAGUGCCUUCGGGAACCGUGAGACAGGUGCUGCAUGGCUGUCGUCAGCUCGUGUUGUGAAAUGUUGGGUUAAGUCCCGCAACGAGCGCAACCCUUAUCCUUUGUUGCCAGCGGUCCGGCCGGGAACUCAAAGGAGACUGCCAGUGAUAAACUGGAGGAAGGUGGGGAUGACGUCAAGUCAUCAUGGCCCUUACGAGUAGGGCUACACACGUGCUACAAUGGCGUAUACAAAGAGAAGCGACCUCGCGAGAGCAAGCGGACCUCAUAAAGUACGUCGUAGUCCGGAUUGGAGUCUGCAACUCGACUCCAUGAAGUCGGAAUCGCUAGUAAUCGUAGAUCAGAAUGCUACGGUGAAUACGUUCCCGGGCCUUGUACACACCGCCCGU